UUUACAGUAAAACAAACAAACCCUAAACAAAACCAGAAAACCAAACAUCAUCAAUCAAUCUACUUCUUUUUCGCUGAAGAAUGAUUCAGAAAUCAUCACCUGGGAGUAAAUCAUCGAAUUUCAAAACAAAAAAAGAACUCAAAACAGAAGAAACGAUCAAAUACCUGGGAGAAAUCAUCCAUGAAGAUUCUACGUGUUCGGUGAGAAAUUCAAAUACUUCCAUCAAAAAGAUCGCAAAUUUCAUGAGGCCCUUCACUUUCUUCUUGGAACCGUAAAGAAGUUAAUAUGGAUAUAGCUGUUGAAGAUCUUCCAACCUUAUUAGAAAGGUUUACCUUGCAAAACCUGUAAACCUGUAUCAACUUAAACAAAAUGUUCCACAAUCAUCUCCAUUGGGGCAGUGCCCCUUGGUAUCUUACAACUUCUGUUCCGAACUCCAUUGGCAAUUAAGAAUUAAGAAGAAGAAGAAGAAGAAGAAGAAGAAGAAGAAGGAUCAUUUGAGUCCAUUGCCACAAGGAUCAUUUGAGUCCCAAUUUAGUGCAGAAUGGCAUGUUAUAUCCACCAACAAAGCACUUAUCUACUGGCGACUCGAGGAGAUGCAAGUGGUCAGAACUCUGUGUGGUAAUAAUCUUUGAUUGAAAUGCUUUGAAUAAGGGGCAAUAGAACAAAAAAGAAAAUGCGUCAAGUUUGGUAAACAAUCUGAGGAGUAACUAAGUCAAAUUAAUCUUCCUAGUUUAAUCUUAUCUUUGAGAUUGUUGUGUGUUGUGCAUAUAUAACUUUAUCCACUUAAUCAUCUUUUAAUCUUCAGAUAACACAAGGAGAAGUGCUCCUCUUAUGCUCCAGAAACUGGGUUGCGAUAGCGAUUACGAUGGAUACAGAAUUGAGAAAUGUCGGAGAAAAGUUGGGAUUCAGGACUUUAAGAUGUGUAUGUACUCCACUCGAGACAAUGAACCUGCUCCGUUGACGAGUGAUGUACACGGAGACUGUCCAAGACUUGUAUCUGUUAUCUAAACGGGGAAACAGAUAGACAAAAGAGAAGUUGUGAAUCUCUUUAUCUUUCAGGAGGAAGAAAGUUGGUGGAAGUGGAAAAAACCCUCCCAUCUUCUAGUAAAAAACCCUGUGUGGACAGGUAUUGCUGAAGCAAGGGAGCCAAGAAAGAAGGGAAAAAGGCGCGGAUUGUGUCAGUUAUAGAUAAGAUAGAAAAAGACAAUUUGUACCUGCUGGUGGCGAUGGGGUUUUCCGAAAUUCAUGUCUCUUAUUCAACUGCAUGACUCUUCCUAAAAUGCUUCUUGUGAAAUCAGAAUUGGAGCUUGAGAAGCAAAUUAGGGGAUCCUUUCAAAGGAUAAGGAUAGCAGUAAUGCAGCUGAUCGCAGCAAAGGAUGAAUUGUGGGGCAAGGUGUCUGGCUUAUUCAUGGAGUCAGACACUGAGAUAUACUUACAAAUGGGUGAAAAAUUUAGAUUUGAUGGAAUGUUUUGCUAGUACAGUAGUUGAAAAGAUAUUGUUAAGGUAAAUGAGACAAAAAUACUAAGACAACUGUAUUUUCUCAAAUAUGUUGUCUUUUUGUGGGCAAAAGAACACUCCGUUAAUCUGAAUGAAUGAAUGAAUGAAUGGUGUUCAUCAUUUUCAUAGUUAACUCUUAUGUACAAACUAAGAUACCGUCAUGAGUUAAUCUGAAUGUUGUCUUUUCUUUUUUUAUUUCCGAUAGAACACAUCUA